UGCUACACCAUGAAAUGAUAAAGAGUUGCUUUGAUGUUAACGUUGCACUUCUAGAAGAUGGACAAGCACAAGUGCUUCUGAAACAGAGUCCAAUAUCCAUGACCAGAGGGCAAAGUAAAACUGCACGGAUCGAGUGUAGAGCUGAGGGCAUAUCUAACUUCCAGUCUGAAUAUAUACAUUGGUACCGACAUAUACCUUCCAAAGCUCCCGAACGGAUUCUGUUUAUCAGAGCAGGACAUGUUUCUUAUGAUGACAACUCCUAUAGGGAUAAGUAUUCUGCUUCGAAGAACAGAGAAAACAUCUGCACUUUCUCAGUCAGUGACAUCAACUCCAAUGAUGAAGGUACCUACUACUGUGCCUACUGGCAGUCCCACAGAACUAGCAGACCACAGGCAGUCUGUACAGAAAGCUGCCUGUACCCUGACCAGCAAGCUUUCCAUCAAAUGCAGAGAACCACAAUUGCACCUUCCUGCCUUUAAAAUAUCCCAACAGGUUUAUGCUGAGUACCUAAGUAUAAAUAACAGACAAAGAGAAAAGCGAAGAAAUGCAGUGUGCUACAACUCAGCUGGUAUAAUGUGCUGUGCUGGGGAAAAGGAGCACUCGUGUGGGUGAUGGUAUUACAGCAGAAUUAUACAGUUAACACAGAUCAUCUUUGAAUAACAUAGAUACUUUCACAAAUACAGUGUGAGCUAGCAAUAAUGAAGCAAUGGCAGGGAAGGAGCAUAGGAGGAGGAUAUUUGCACUGAAGAUCUAGCCUGGGAGACUUCAGAUCCAGGUCACGAUGGCGAUCCUGGUGAUACUCAUCACCGGUCGCUCCCAUCUUAAUGGUUAUGAUGACAAUGACUGCUUUUAACACCAACACUACUUAGAACCCCUUCUUAUAGGCAAGGAUCUGUUACACUGGGCAACACCUGAUAAAAAUGGCCCUGAGAAAGGAUUGUGAAGACUGUUUACAGGAGAAAGCUGCAAAGUAAAGCAGGGAACAUAUGGAAAUGGUGACACAGCACUGCUCAGCCAGACAGCUGGGAGCAGAGCCACAGGGAAAUUUCACUUCUGUGGCAAUGGUAUUCACAACCCCAUGUCCAUGUGAGUGUUUCAUGGAACUCAAGUGCACCAUUUCAUCUCCUCAAUGGCAGUCCAUCCCCCAUCCAGGGUUCAUUACCUAAGUUCCUACGGGUCCAGACAUCUUCUCUGAAAACAUCAUUGCUGCAGGUUCUUCUUGCAGCUUUUGUUUGGCCUUGGAAGAUAUCU